rnacentral:rRNA from 1 species
GAUGAACGCUGGCGGCGCGCCUAACACAUGCAAGUCGAACGGUGAAGUCCCUUCGGGGACGGAUCAGUGGCGGACGGGUGAGUAACGCGUGAGUAACCUGCCCUUAUGAGUAGAAUAACGUCUGGAAACGGACGCUAAUACCGCAUAACGCAUUCCCUUGGCAUCUAGGGAAUGCCAAAGAUUUAUCGCUGAGAGGUGGGCUCGCGUCUGAUUAGGUAGUUGGUGAGGUAACGGCCCACCAAGCCGACGAUCAGUAGCCGACCUGAGAGGGUGAUCGGCCACAUUGGGACUGAGACACGGCCCAA